GAGAGAGAGAGAGAGAGAGAGAGAGAGAGAGAGAGAGAGAGAGAGAGAGAGAGAGAGAGAAUACUAAUACAACCAAUUUUUCCUCAACAGACAGACAGAUGACAUCACCACCACAAUCACCACCACCACCACCAGUCAACACCACUUCACCACCACCACCACGCCACCUCCACCUCCUCCUCCUCCUCUUCCUUCUCUCCCACGCCAAUUCUCUCUCCCAUGAAAGUGAGAGAUGGAGAGAAGAGAGGAGAGAAAGGAGGGAGUUGAGUUUCUUCCUCCCUUUCUCUCCCUCCAAGAAUGAGAUAGUGGAGGAAAGAAAUGGAGAGAUGGAGGAGGAGGAGGAGGUGGAGGGAGAGUGGAUACUGGAGGAGGAAUCUGUGACAUCAGGAAAAGAAGAAGAAGAAGAAGAAGAAGAGGAAGAAGGCGAACGCGAAACCAGAAACUCCGUAACAGGAAGACGAGGAGGAGGAGACGAAGAAAGAAGAAGAGGAGGAAGAGGAGGAGGAGGAGGAGGAGGGCAACCAAACCACCACCACCACCUCACAUCCUCAGACACUUGGUGGAAAGCUGUCAACCCGGACGACCCAGCCACGGGAAUCGAACCAACGCUCUGGGACGGGUGGGGGCUUACACUCCACCACCACCAACCACCACCACCACAACCACCACCAGACUACCAUACGCUGCAGACCACGUGGAUAGAAGAGGCAGUGACGUAGAGGAAGAAGGGAGGAGGGAGGCUCUGAGAAUAGUGUUAGAGAGAGAGAGGAGGAGGAGGAGGAGGAAGAUUGAAGAAGCGGAAAGAGAUGAAAUAAGAGGAAAAAAAAGAGGAGAUAGGAAGAGGAAAAAGAGGGAAAAUAUUGAAUUAAGACCCUGAGACAUUUAAGAAUAUUAAGCAUAAAAAAGAAGAAGAGGAGGAAGACAAGGUAAUGAGGGGCAGCUAGCUAAUGAGAGGUAAUUAACUAGGACAGGUAUGUGACUUGUACAGGUAAUAAUCAUGCUUCUGCCAGGUGCUAUAAUGAAGGUUAGGUCAAUUAAGGUUAAGGUAAUGAUGAUGUAAUUACUGACAUUAUUAUUAUUAUUAUUAUUAUUAUUAUUAUUGGGGUAAUUUAUAAGACUUUCAAGCAUUUAAUUGUCCAGUGAUAUUGAAAUGCACACACACACACACACACACACACACACACACACACACACACACACACACACACACACACACACAUACAGACAUACUUACACACGUUUUAAUCUAAAUUGCACUAAAUAACAAUUAAAAAAAAGAGAAAUCAAUGACUACACAUACUAAUAAUAUUUAAAGCAUUUUUCCAAGCAUUUAUAAACAUACAAUUACUAUUAUUAUUAUUAUUAUUGUUAGUAUAGGCCUAUGAACUUUUUAUACUAAUGUUAUCACAGUAUAUAUAUUUUUAGGCCUAUGAACUUUUUAUACUAAGAUUAACACUAUAUAUAUUUUUAGGCCUAUGAACUUUUUAUACUAAUGUUAUCACUAUAUAUAUUUUUAGGCCUAUAAACUUUUUAUACUAAGAUUAACACUGUAUAUAUAUUUUUUUGUACUACUGUUAAGAGGAUUGUGCAAUAUAUAUUUUUCUAUAAGCGAUUAGUAAUAAAAUUUGAUGAAGGAAA